rnacentral:rRNA from 1 species
UCAGGACGAACGCUGGCGGCACGCUUAACACAUGCAAGUCGAACGGAGAAUAUUUGAGUUUACUUAGAUAUUCUUAGUGGCGGACGGGUGAGUAACACGUGAGCAACCUACCUUAGAGAGAGGGAUAGCUUCUGGAAACGGAUGGUAAUACCUCAUAACAUAACUGAACCGCAUGAUUUAGUUAUCAAAGAUUUAUCACUCUGAGAUGGGCUCGCGUCUGAUUAGAUAGUUGGUGAGGUAACGGCUCACCAAGUCGACGAUCAGUAGCCGGACUGAGAGGUUGAACGGCCACAUUGGGACUGAGACACGGCCCAGACUCCUACGGGAGGCAGCAGUGGGGAAUAUUGCACAAUGGGGGAAACCCUGAUGCAGCGAUGCCGCGUGGAGGAAGAAGGUUUUCGGAUUGUAAACUCCUGUCUUAAAGGACGAUAAUGACGGUACUUUAGGAGGAAGCUCCGGCUAACUACGUGCCAGCAGCCGC